UACGAAGGGGGCUAGCGUUGUUCGGAAUCACUGGGCGUAAAGGGCGCGUAGGCGGCCGAUCAAGUCGGGGGUGAAAGCCUGUGGCUCAACCACAGAAUUGCCUUCGAUACUGUUUGGCUUGAGACCGGAAGAGGUCAGUGGAACUGCGAGUGUAGAGGUGAAAUUCGUAGAUAUUCGCAAGAACACCAGUGGCGAAGGCGGCUGACUGGUCCGGUUCUG
rnacentral:rRNA from 1 species